UUUCCCCCCCAUCCACUUUCACCUCUCCACUGCCCUGGACCUCCACAACUCUUACGCACAUUGGUAGCCUAAAAUAAUGGUCCUGUCCUUUAGGAGCGUCAACAUCCACACGGACGCCAACCUGGGUGAUCUGGGCAUGCAAUUCAGCAAGAUCCUGUUGAUGGGGGAAAUAGUCAGGGAGUGAUUUCCUGAACAAGGUUGAUCAACUCUUCCUUCAGAGACUCAAUGUCACUCUCCAGGUGCAGGCGACCAACGUUGGUGUCAUCCAGAAGCCUCCUUAGUCUAG